CAAGUCGAACGGUAGAGGGGGCAACCCCUUGAGAGUGGCGAACGGGUGAGUAAUAUAUCGGAACGUGCCCAGUCGUGGGGGAUAACGUAGCGAAAGUUACGCUAAUACCGCAUACGAUCUAAGGAUGAAAGCGGGGGAUCGCAAGACCUCGCGCGAUUGGAGCGGCCGAUAUCAGAUUAGGUAGUUGGUGGGGUAAAGGCUCACCAAGCCAACGAUCUGUAGCUGGUCUGAGAGGACGACCAGCCACACUGGAACUGAGACACGGUCCAGACUCC
rnacentral:rRNA from 2 species